CAACUCUUGCAGUGAACAUGAGUCUGGAGAGUUUGAGCAUGGCAGCACAAACCCAAGUCCUCUUCAGCUCUUUUACACAAACCUGUUGCCUGUGUUGAAUACUCUCAGUUGUUGCAGCAGAGGCUAAGGAUCGCAGACAUGUUCUCACGGUUGUGUUGCAGUGGUUUUGUUGGUAUUAAAGACCACACUUCUGCUGAAAUGGAAAACUUUGGUGGUUUUGUCCAACACUGGCAACUCUUCUUCGUCCCUCUUCAUGCUCUUAAGGGAAUGCACCUGGGUUGAUUUGGAGGUGGCAGCUUCUAAAUGGUUCUGCCUCUGACAGUCCGUCAGCUCUUUUUGAAGGUCAUCUUUUUCUCUUUUUUGCGGGGUUGCAGUAGGAUGUCGGGUCGUCCCUCUUCUUCUUCUUGGGGACUGUGGUGGCCCCGUUUUCCCACUUGGGCCCUUUUAUCUGGGAUUGGAGUUGACUGGUCUGUGAAGUGGAUAAUUUUUUUUUAACUCUUGAUCUCAAAGCAGCGGUUUGACAUUUGACAAAAAUGCACAUUGUAAAAUGCUCUUGGCGGCAGCUCUACAGUUAAUGAGAGUUUUAUCAUUCUUCCCAUUGAAAUCUGGGCAAAAAUAGAGAAUAUUUACCAAAAUGCUAAAUUUUUCUUCUACCAUAUAAAAUGCUCAAGACGGGGAGAUAUUUCAAACACCCACCUUUUGCCCGGCUUUCAGUUUUGCAUUCAUUUCUUCUUUUUUCCGACUGCUGAUGAAAUUCUGCAAGAAGGAAUAGGAAUGCUUCUCCGCUCCCAUCCCAGCAGGGCUGCCCUCCAUGGCUGGGCUGCUUGAGGAGUCCUCCUUCGGGGACAUUUGCAGGACCAUGUUGUCUACAUGUGGUCCAUCGCCAUAGCUCUGUUCCUCGCAGAUGUCCAUCAGACCCUCAGACGAUUUCGUACUGGAAGACAAAUUAAGUUGCUGGGCCAAACACCUUAGUCUCCUUUCAUCAAAUUUGUUUGUUUUACCUUUAUCUGUCAGCACAGAUUUAAACAGACCGUUUAAGCACACACUCACUAGAGGCUGUUUUUGAACCGUCCCUGAAGGUGGCUCAUCGACAGGAAUGGAUGCUGGAGAAUUAGUCUUGGGUCAAUUCUUUCAAACUGAUUUGUCAUAAGCAUCUGUGCC